rnacentral:lncRNA from 12 species
AUGACGGUGCAGGAAGGGGCUGAGGAAGCCAGUCUGGAGCUUCCUCAGGGAAGCCUCAGCUUCCAGAGGGUUCCAGGAUCCAGGAGGGGAGGCAAGGGCCUGGCCAGCCAGUUGAGGGCGGAGCCUACAAGGGAGUGCCUAGCCCGGAAGGGAGGGCAAAGGGCUAUGUUGUCCGCCUGCCCCACCCCACUGACAAGAGUCCCAGUCACCAGGCCACCCUCUCUGUCUGGGGCCCUAGAGGGAACCCAGAAUUCCAAGUUGCUGGAGCACUGGGGGACAUCCAGACAGAGCCCUCACUGGACCAGGUCCUCCAGGAGCGGGAUGAAGCCAUUGCCAAGUGAGACAGAUGCCUGGGGGGGGUGGGGGGUGGAGGGGAGGGGUGUUGGGAGGGCAGUGGGUGGCUCACCCUCAGGGCUCUGUCCUACUACAGGAAAGGAGGUGAGAAGUCAGGUAUUCCUGCAAGGAAAGCACUCACCCUGUCCCAAGGCAGGGGCUGUGGCUACACUUGCCUCCCCCCCCAACCCUGGGGCCCAGAGCAGAUGUGCAGGGUUCCAGUCUCAGGUUGCUCUUCCCACCACCUGCAGGAAGCAGGCAAUGGAGGCUGAGCUGGACUCAUGCAGAGCCAAGUUGCAAGCUGUGGAGGCCCAGCUGCUGGAGGUCCUGGAGGAGAAACUGAGGCUGAGGCAGGAGGUGGAAGCCUGGGAGGAGGACAUGCAUCAAAUGGUGAGGCAGCGGGUCGAGAGUCAGCUGCAGAGAGAGUCCCAGUGCACUCUGGGUGCCCCCGUGAACCCCCAAACUGCCAGGGCCCUGCAGGUCCGAUUCCCCCUGGGUCGGUGGGGACGCUGGCGGUAA